rnacentral:rRNA from 1 species
CCUACGGGUCGCAGCAGUGGGGAAUAUUGGACAAUGGGCGAAAGCCUGAUCCAGCCAUGCCGCGUGUGUGAAGAAGGCCUUCGGGUUGUAAAGCACUUUCAGUGGGGAAGAAAGCCUUGGGGCUAAUACCCUCGAGGAAGGACAUCACCCACAGAAGAAGCACCGGCUAACUCCGUGCCAGCAGCCGCGGUAAUACGGAGGGUGCGAGCGUUAAUCGGAAUUACUGGGCGUAAAGCGCGCGUAGGCGGUCUGAUAAGCCGGUUGUGAAAGCCCCGGGCUCAACCUGGGAACGGCAUCCGGAACUGUCAGGCUAGAGUGCAGGAGAGGAAGGUAGAAUUCCCGGUGUAGCGGUGAAAUGCGUAGAGAUCGGGAGGAAUACCAGUGGCGAAGGCGGCCUUCUGGACUGACACUGACGCUGAGGUGCGAAAGCGUGGGUAGCAAACAGGAUUAGAUACCCGUGUGGC